rnacentral:rRNA from 1 species
AGAAGCGAUGCGGCGACGCAGAGCGGAACUUCAAAGCCUGUCUCAGUUCGGAUUGGAGUCUGCAACCCGACUCCAUGAAGCUGGAUUCGCUAGUAAUCGCGCAUCAGCCACGGCGCGGUGAAUACGUUCCCGGGCCUUGUACACACCGCCCGUCACACCAUGGGAGUUUGUAACACCCGAAGUCAGUAUCCUAACCGCAAGGGGGGAGCUGCCGAAGGUGGGAUAAGCGACUGGGGUGAAGUCGUAACAAGGUACC